rnacentral:rRNA from 1 species
AUUGAACGCUGGCGGAAUGCUUUACACAUGCAAGUCGAACGGCAGCACGGGAGCAAUCCUGGUGGCGAGUGGCGAACGGGUGAGUAAAGUAUCGGAACGUGCCCAGUCGUGGGGGAUAACGUAGCGAAAGUUACGCUAAUACCGCAUACGAUCUAUGGAUGAAAGCGGGGGAUCGCAAGACCUCGCGCGAUUGGAGCGGCCGAUAUCAGAUUAGGUAGUUGGUGGGGUAAAGGCUCACCAAGCCGACGAUCUGUAGCUGGUCUGAGAGGACGACCAGCCACACUGGGACUGAGACACGGCCCAGACUCCUACGGGAGGCAGCAGUGGGGAAUUUUGGACAAUGGGCGAAAGCCUGAUCCAGCCAUGCCGCGUGCAGGAUGAAGGCCUUCGGGUUGUAAACUGCUUUUGUACGGAACGAAAAGGUUUGGCCUAAUAAGCUGAGCUCAUGACGGUACCGUAAGAAUAAGCACCGGCUAACUACGUGCCAGCCGCCGCCGUAA